AACGAACGCUGGCGGCAUGCCUAACACAUGCAAGUCGAGCGAGAUCUUCGGGUCUAGUGGCGCACGGGUGCGUAACGCGUGGGAAUCUGCCCUUUGGUUCGGAAUAACAGUUGGAAACGACUGCUAAUACCGGAUGAUGACGAGAGUCCAAAGAUUUAUCGCCAGAGGAUGAGCCCGCGUAGGAUUAACUAGUUGGUGUGGUAAAGGCGCACCAAGGCGACGAUCCUUAGCUGGUCUGAGAGGAUGAUCAGCCACACUGGGACUGAGACACGGCCCAGACUCCUACGGGAGGCAGCAGUGGGGAAUAUUGGACAAUGGGCGAAAGCCUGAUCCAGCAAUGCCGCGUGAGUGAUGAAGGCCUUAGGGUUGUAAGGCUCUUUUACCCGGGAUGAUAAUGACAGUACCGGGAGAAUAAGCUCCGGCUAACUCCGUGCCAGCCGCCGCGGUAA
rnacentral:rRNA from 1 species